rnacentral:rRNA from 1 species
GUGGGGAAUCUUGCGCAAUGGGCGAAAGCCUGACGCAGCAAUGCCGCGUGAAUGAUGAAGGUCUUAGGAUUGUAAAAUUCUUUCACCGGGGACGAUAAUGACGGUACCCGGAGAAGAAGCCCCGGCUAACUUCGUGCCAGCAGCCGCGGUAAUGAGAGGGGGGCUAGCGUUGCUCGGAAUUACUGGGCGUAAAGGGCGCGUAGGCGGACAGUUUAGUCAGAGGUGAAAGCCCAGGGCUCAACCGUGGAAGUGCCUUUGAUACUGGCUGGCUUGAGUACGGGAGGGGUGAGUGGAACUCCGGGUGGAGAGGUGAAAUUCGUAGAGAUUCGGAAGAACACCAGUGGCGAAGGCGACUUACUGGCCCGUUACUGACGCUGAGGCGCGAAAGCGUGGGGAGCAAACAGGAUUAGAUACCCCAGUAGUCC